rnacentral:rRNA from 1 species
UACGAGAGGCCCAAACGUUAUUCGGAAUUACUGGGCUUAAAGAGUUCGUAGGCGGCAUUGCAAGUAGGGUGUGAAAGCCCUCGGCUCAACCGAGGAAUUGCGCUCUAAACUGCAGUGCUUGAGGACCUAGAGGUGAGCAGAACAGAUGGUGGAGCAGUGAAAUGCGUAGAUAUCAGGAGGAAUACCGAUGGCGAAGGCAGGUCUCUGGGCUGACACUGACGCUCAUGCACGAAAGCGUGGGGACAAACGAG